GGGGUUGUGGCUCAGUGGUAGAGUGCUUGCUUAGAAAGUGUGAGUCCCUGGGUUUGAUUCUCAGCACCA
rnacentral:tRNA from 1 species